rnacentral:rRNA from 1 species
UGUAAGCGUAUACCAAAGUUGUUGCAGUUAAAACGCUCGUAGUCGGAAUUUGGCAGUUCCGGAUGUGUGCACGUCGUGUGCGCACUUCGCGGGGAUUGCUUUUGUGGUCUUGCGUAGGAUGAGGCACUUUUAUUAGUGAACGUCCUCACGCAACCACUUUUUACUGUGAGAAAAUCAGAGUGCUCAAAGCAGGCAUUUGCCGUGAAUGUAUUAGCAUGGAAUAAUAGAAUAGGACUUGGUUCUAUUUUGUUGGUUUGUUGGGACUGAGUAAUGAUUAAGAUGGACAGUUGGGGGCAUUUGUAUUUCGGUGCUAGAGGUGAAAUUCUUAGAUUACCGAAAGACAAACUGCUGCGAAAGCGUCUGCCAAGGAUGUUUUCAUUGA